AGGGGGAUUAGCUCAGUUGGAUAGAGCGCCUGUUUUGCACGCAGGAGGUCAUCGGUUCGACUCCGAUAUUCUCC
rnacentral:tRNA from 1 species